rnacentral:rRNA from 1 species
UACGGGGGGGCAAGCGUUGUUCGGAAUUACUGGGCGUAAAGGGCGCGUAGGCGGCCUUCUAAGUCGGACGUGAAAUCCCUCGGCUUAACCGAGGAACUGCGUCCGAUACUGAAAGGCUUGAAUCCGGGAGAGGGAUGUGGAAUUCCAGGUGUAGCGGUGAAAUGCGUAGAUAUCUGGAGGAACACCGGUGGCGAAGGCGGCAUCCUGGACCGGCAUUGACGCUGAGGCGCGAAAGCUAGGGGAGCAAACAGG